CACCAUAAGGUUAGCUUAGGAAAUUGCGUGGUUAGCAACCCUCUCUCUCUCUCUCCCUCUCGGUCUCUAUAUUUAGUGGGGAGCUGGGGUGCAAUAUCAACCCCACAUCUUCCUUCUUUCCCUCUGAAAACCCCACAACACUAGCCACCCCCCUUAAAUCCUCUAAGCUUUGCUUGUUUUUUGCCAAUUCAAUAGGUUUUGUGGGGCUCUGAAACACCAUUUGAUUAUGACCUAGUUCCCAUCUCCCGGCCAAAAUCUUUCUACAUCCUCCAUAAAUAUCCCUGUCUCCUCCUUCUUCUAUCCUCUUCAGGCUUCAAUCACCCCCUCCCUCUCUCCCCAAACUCCUGCUACCUACUUCAUCCAUAUAUCUCUCUCGCCAUGAUCUUCAGGAAGAUCAGCUUGAUAGGGUUGAAGAUCAUGUUAUCCAUACACAUAUGCAUAUGCACAUAUAUAUAUAUAUUUUUGAUAACCCGGGUAUCCAAAACUUUGCCCCGACUAGAUCUUGAAACACCGUGCAAAGCACCCCCUACAUACAGGUCGGGUAAGACUCGAACUUUCACCCGCGGAACGAAUAUAUAUAUAUUUAUAAAUACAUAUUACAUGUUUUCAAGCCUAGAGGUUCAAGUAGUACAUGAUGAGAUUGGGGAAGGGCUUAGUUGGAUUUUUUAAUUUUAUUUUUAGUUUAAGGGAGGAAAUAGAUACAUAUAUACAUGCAAAAAUUCAUGCAUACACACAUGUAUAUGUGCCUGGCUCCCUGUAUGCCAUUUGCAGAGCCCACCGGAGCAUCGCUGGCCUCCGUGGAUGGCGUAUGAGGAGCCAAGCAUAUUCCAUGUUUUAUACAUGGAAUUAAUUCUUUUUCUUUUUUCCAAUUCUGGUCUCUUUGUAUUUCCAAAACGGCAGCGGAGAAAUUUUGGAUGUCUGAAUGGAGAGAAUAAUAGUAGCGCGGUUUCUGUGAAGAUAUAUAUUCCCAUCACCGAUGGUCUCAUGUGGCUUCCGUGAGACCGUAAUCAUUUCAUUACACAUGCAACGAGGUUUCCGUGAUAUAUGUAGCCAAAAAUUACGGUAAAUUAGAACUGUUCCUGACAACAUGGAAGUCACAACUACCAUGUUGCCCUUCCAUCUUGUUGAACGCUUAUCUGAUGGACACUUCAUAUGACCCCUGGUCAUAUGAUCAAUAUUGUCCUCAAAAGAAGCAACUGUGUCUCACAAUUUCACAAGCCAGUUUUCUCUUUUUUCAUGCAAAAACAAAAAAUCUUGGUUUAAUGGAUCAUCAGAAUUGAAUGUCGAUCAGCUUUGUUUUUGUUUAGGCCUAGUAGAUGAUGUUUUACUGCUGGCUUUAGCUUGAAGAAAGCAUAAAUACCAGAAAAAUAAAUCUAGGCUGUCUGAUCGAUGGAUCAUCAUGGCCGGCGUUCUGAGCCAGCCAUAUGAUCUAUGUUUUCUAUUUUGUGGGAGCUAGGGUAAUGAUCAUGUUAGUCCAGCUAUCUCCCUCCACUUAAGAAAUCAACAAUGGGGGAAAAGAAAUGCAUAAAUAAAUUAUGAAGGAAAAAAGAAAUGCAUAGAUAUCCUUAGGCUUAUGUGCAUUUCUCUUUUUCUUUUUCUGGCUAGCUAGUGUCUUUAGCAAUGGGCCUGGGCAGAUAUCUCAUCAUCUUGCCUGGGCAGGGCAUCGAGAAAGAAGAAAAAAAAAGGUAUGGAUUGUGGGAAAAGUAAAAGUGUUUGGCAGAAGGGAUUAUGAUUAUGGCUACUGGGGAAUCUCAUACAAGGAGUGGACCACCCUCUCUCUCUUUUUCCAUUGGCUCGCAGGGAAUAUGUUAUACGGUCAAAGCAGGUCAAAAAGGAAACAUCGGUCAGGCAAACAGAAGGGGACCACCUUUGUGAGAUCUCCUGGGAAAUCAAUUAUGGGAUUUUUGUUGCAUGUUUUUUUUCAAAUUUUCAAUUUCGUAGAGUAAAUACUACACCAACAUUCUCUUGGAGUAGCUAGGGCUAGCUACUAGUAGUGAAAUAAAAAAAAUAAGAGAGAAAAAAAAAAUGCUCGAGCUUGUGGGGUCUAUCUUCCUCAAUGUUGUUUGCUCUUUUACGUUUAUUGUACUCCUACUUGAUCUUACAAAGUAAUUCUACAUCCUUGUUCUAUCAA